AUACGGAGGGGACUAGCGUUGUUCGGAAUUACUGGGCGUAAAGAGUUCGUAGGCGGAUAAGCAAGUAAGAGGUGAAAUCCCAGGGCUCAACCCUGGAACUGCCUUUUAAACUGUCAGUCUAGAGACCGGAAGAGGUUAGGGGAAUACCUAGUGUAGAGGUGAAAUUCGUAGAUAUUAGGUGGAACACCAGUGGCGAAGGCGCCUAACUGGUCCGGUACUGACGCUGAGGAACGAAAGCGUGGGGAGCAAACAGGAUUAGAAACCCUAGUAGUCC
rnacentral:rRNA from 1 species